GAUGAACGCUGGCGGCGUGCCUAAUACAUGCAAGUCGAGCGAACAGACGAGGAGCUUGCUCCUCUGACGUUAGCGGCGGACGGGUGAGUAACACGUGGAUAACCUACCUAUAAGACUGGGAUAACUUCGGGAAACCGGAGCUAAUACCGGAUAAUAUAUUGAACCGCAUGGUUCAAUAGUGAAAGACGGUUUUGCUGUCACUUAUAGAUGGAUCCGCGCCGCAUUAGCUAGUUGGUAAGGUAACGGCUUACCAAGGCGACGGUGCGUAGCCGACCUGAGAGGGUGAUCGGCCACACUGGAACUGAGACACGGUCCAGACUCCUACGGGAGGCAGCAGUAGGGAAUCUUCCGCAAAGGGCGAAAGCCUGACGGAGCAACGCCGCGUGAGUGAUGAAGGUCUUCGGAUCGUAAAACUCUGUUAUUAGGGAAGAACAAAUGUGUAAGUAACUAUGCACGUCUUGACGGUACCUAAUCAGAAAGCCACGGCUAACUACGUG
rnacentral:rRNA from 1 species